rnacentral:rRNA from 1 species
CCAGACCGCCAGCUAAGGUCCCAAAGUCAUGGUUAAGUGGGAAACGAUGUGGGAAGGCCCAGACAGCCAGGAUGUUGGCUUAGAAGCAGCCAUCAUUUAAAGAAAGCGUAAUAGCUCACUGGUCGAGUAGGCCUGCGCGGAAGAUGUAACGGGGCUAAACCAUGCACCGAAGCUGCGGCAGCGACGCUGAUGCGUUGUUGGGUAGGGGAGCGUUCUGUAAGCCUGUGAAGGUGUGCUGUGAGGCAUGCUGGAGGUAUCAGAAGUG